rnacentral:rRNA from 1 species
CCUACGGGUGGCAGCAGUGAGGAAUAUUGGUCAAUGGACGAGAGCCUGAACCAGCCAAGUAGCGUGAAGGAUGACUGCCCUAUGGGUUGUAAACUUCUUUUAUAUGGGAAUAAAGUGUUCCACGUGUGGGAUUUUGUAUGUACUAUAUGAAUAAGGAUCGGCUAACUCCGUGCCAGCAGCCGCGGUAAUACGGAGGAUCCGAGCGUUAUCCGGAUUUAUUGGUUUUAAAGGGUGCGCAGGCGGAUGAUCAAGUCAGCGGUAAAAUUGAGGGGCUCAACCUCUUCGAGCCGUUGAAACUGGUAGUCUUGAGUGAGCGAGAGGUAUGCGGAAUGCGUGGUGUAGCGGUGAAAUGCAUAGAUAUAACGAAGAACUCCGAUUGCGAAGGCAGCAUACUGGCGCUCAACUGACGCUGAUGCACGAAAGUGUGGGUAUCGAACAGGAUUAGAUACCCCAGUAGUC